rnacentral:rRNA from 1 species
GAUCAUGGCUCAGGACGAACGCUGGCGGCGUGCCUAACACAUGCAAGUCGAACGGGGCUAGGAAAGCUUGCUUUCCGAAGCCUAGUGGCGGACGGGUGAGUAACGCGUGAGUAACCUGCCUUUCAGAGGGGAAUAACGUUCUGAAAAGAACGCUAAUACCGCAUAACGUACAGUUACCGCAUGGUAGCAGUACCAAAGGAGCAAUCCGCUGAAAGAUGGACUCGCGUCCGAUUAGCUAGUUGGUGGGUAAAGG